rnacentral:tRNA from 1 species
UUAGACGAAGCCAAAUAGAGGCUUAUCACUGUUAAUGAUAGAACUGUAAUCUUUUCCCGUCUAAA